UGGUGUUGUGUUCAACUAGGUGGAGAGAGUUUGAUUAGGUGACCUGGUGUUGUGUUCAACUAGGUGGAGAGGGUUUGAUUAGGUGAUCUGGUGUUGUGUUCUACUAGGUGGAGAGAGUUUGAUUAGGUGACCUGGUGUUGUGUUCAACUAGGUGGAGAGAGUUUGAUUAGGUGACCUGGUGUUGUGUUCAACUAGGUGGAGAGAGUUUGAUUAGGUGACCUGGUGUUGUGUUCAACUAGGUGGAGAGGGUUUGAUUAGGUGACCUGGUGUUGUGUUCAACUAGGUGGAGAGGGUUUGAUUAGGUGACCUGGUGUUGUGUUCAACUAGGUGGAGAGGGUUUGAUUAGGUGACCUGGUGUUGUGUUCAACUAGGUGGAGAGAGUUUGAUUAGGUGAUCUGGUGUUGUGUUCAACUAGGUGGAGAGAGUUUGAUUAGGUGAUCUGGUGUUGUGUUCAACUAGGUGGAGAGAGUUUGAUUAGGUGACCUGGUGUUGUGUUCAACUAGGUGGAGAGAGUUUGAUUAGGUGAUCUGGUGUUGUGUUCUACUAGGUGGAGAGAGUUUGAUUAGGUGAUCUGGUGUUGUGUUCUACUAGGUGGAGAGAGUUUGAUUAGGUGAUCUGGUGUUGUGUUCUACUAGGUGGAGAGAGUUUGAUUAGGUGAUCUGGUGUUGUGUUCUACUAGGUGGAGAGAGUUUGAUUAGGUGAUCUGGUGUUGUGUUCUACUAGGUGGAGAGAGUUUGAUUAGGUGAUCUGGUGUUGUGUUCUACUAGGUGGAGAGAGUUUGAUUAGGUGAUCUGGUGUUGUGUUCUACUAGGUGGAGAGAGUUUGAUUAGGUGAUCUGGUGUUGUGUUCUACUAGGUGGAGAGAGUUUGAUUAGGUGAUCUGGUGUUGUGUUCUACUAGGUGGAGAGAGUUUGAUUAGGUGAUCUGGUGUUGUGUUCUACUAGGUGGAGAGAGUUUGAUUAGGUGACCUGGUGUUGUGUUCAACUAGGUGGAGAGAGUUUGAUUAGGUGACCUGGUGUUGUGUUCAACUAGGUGGAGAGAGUUUGAUUAGGUGAUCUGGUGUUGUGUUCUACUAGGUGGAGAGAGUUUGAUUAGGUGACCUGGUGUUGUGUUCAACUAGGUGGAGAGAGUUUGAUUAGGUGAUCUGGUGUUGUGUUCAACUAGGUGGAGAGAGUUUGAUUUGGUGAUCUGGUGUUGUGUUCAACUAGGUGGAGAGAGUUUGAUUAGGUGAUCUGGUGUUGUGUUCAACUAGGUGGAGAGAGUUUGAUUAGGUGACCUGGUGUUGUGUUCAACUAGGUGGAGAGGGUUUGAUUAGGUGACCUGGUGUUGUGUUCAACUAGGUGGAGAGGGUUUGAUUAGGUGACCUGGUGUUGUGUUCAACUAGGUGGAGAGGGUUUGAUUAGGUGACCUGGUGUUGUGUUCAACAAGGUGGAGAGAGUUUGAUUAGGUGAUCUGGUGUUGUGUUCAACUAGGUGGAGAGAGUUUGAUUAGGUGAUCUGGUGUUGUGUUCAACUAGGUGGAGAGAGUUUGAUUAGGUGAUCUGGUGUUGUGUUCAACUAGGUGGAGAGAGUUUGAUUAGGUGAUCUGGUGUUGUGUUCAACUAGGUGGAGAGAGUUUGAUUAGGUGAUCUGGUGUUGUGUUCAACUAGGUGGAGAGAGUUUGAUUAGGUGAUCUGGUGUUGUGUUCAACUAGGUGGAGAGAGUUUGAUUAGGUGAUCUGGUGUUGUGUUCAACUAGGUGGAGAGAGUUUGAUUAGGUGAUCUGGUGUUGUGUUCAACUAGGUGGAGAGAGUUUGAUGAGGUGACCUGGUGUUGUGUUCAACUAGGUGGAGAGAGUUUGAUUAGGUGACCUGGUGUUGUGUUCUACUAGGUGGAGAGGGUUUGAUUAGGUGACCUGGUGUUGUGUUCAACUAGGUGGAGAGGGUUUGAUUAGGUGACCUGGUGUUGUGUUCAACAAGGUGGAGAGAGUUUGAUUAGGUGAUCUGGUGUUGUGUUCAACUAGGUGGAGAGAGUUUGAUUAGGUGAUCUGGUGUUGUGUUCAACUAGGUGGAGAGAGUUUGAUUAGGUGAUCUGGUGUUGUGUUCAACUAGGUGGAGAGAGUUUGAUUAGGUGAUCUGGUGUUGUGUUCAACUAGGUGGAGAGAGUUUGAUUAGGUGAUCUGGUGUUGUGUUCAACUAGGUGGAGAGAGUUUGAUUAGGUGAUCUGGUGUUGUGUUCAACUAGGUGGAGAGAGUUUGAUUAGGUGAUCUGGUGUUGUGUUCAACUAGGUGGAGAGAGUUUGAUGAGGUGAUCUGGUGUUGUGUUCAACUAGGUGGAGAGAGUUUGAUUAGGUGAUCUGGUGUUGUGUUCAACUAGGUGGAGAGAGUUUGAUUAGGUUAUCUGGUGUUGUGUUCAACUAGGUGGAGAGGGUUUGAUUAGGUGAUCUGGUGUUGUGUUCAACUAGGUGGAGAGAGUUUGAUUUGGUGACCUGGUGUUGUGUUCAACUAGGUGGAGAGAGUUUGAUUAGGUGAUCUGGUGUUAUGUUCAACAAGGUGGAGAGAGUUUGAUUUGGUGAUCUGGUGUUGUGUUCAAUAAGGUGGAGAGAGUUUGAUUAGGUGAUCUGGUGUUGUGUUCAACUAGGUGGAGAGAGUUUGAUUAGGUGACCUGGUGUUGUGUUCAACUAGGUGGAGAGAGUUUGAUUUGGUGACCUGGUGUUGUGUUCAACUAGGUGGAGAGAGUUUGAUUAGGUGAUCUGGUGUUAUGUUCAACAAGGUGGAGAGAGUUUGAUUUGGUGAUCUGGUGUUGUGUUCAAUAAGGUGGAGAGAGUUUGAUUAGGUGAUCUGGUGUUGUGUUCAACUAGGUGGAGAGAGUUUGAUUAGGUGACCUGGUGUUGUGUUCAACAAGGUGGAGAGAGUUUGAUUAGGUGAUCUGGUGUUGUGUUCAACUAGGUGGAGAGAGUUUGAUUAGGUGACCUGGUGUUGUGUUCAACUAGGUGGAGAGGGUUUGAUUAGGUGAUCUGGUGUUGUGUUCAACAAGGUGGAGAGGGUUUGAUUAGGUGAUCUGGUGUUGUGUUCAACUAGGUGGAGAGAGUUUGAUUAGGUGAUCUGGUGUUGUGUUCAACAAGGUGGAGAGAGUUUGAUUAGGUGAUCUGGUGUUGUGUUCAACUAGGUGGAGAGAGUUUGAUGAGGUGACCUGGUGUUGUGUUCAACUAGGUGGAGAGGGUUUGAUUAGGUGAUCUGGUGUUGUGUUCAACAAGGUGGAGAGAGUUUGAUUAGGUGAUCUGGUGUUGUGUUCAACUAGGUGGAGAGAGUUUGAUUAGGUGAUCUGGUGUUGUGUUCAACUAGGUGGAGAGAGUUUGAUUAGGUGAUCUGGUGUUGUGUUCAACAAGGUGGAGAGAGUUUGAUUAGGUGACCUGGUGUUGUGUUCAACUAGGUGGAGAGAGUUUUAUUAGGUGACCUGGUGUUGUGUUCAACUAGGUGGAGAGAGUUUGAUUAGGUGACCUGGUGUUGUGUUCAACUAGGUGGAGAGAGUUUGAUUAGGUGACCUGGUGUUGUGUUCUACUAGGUGGAGAGAGUUUGAUUAGGUGAUCUGGUGUUGUGUUCAACUAGGUGGAGAGGGUUUGAUUUGGUGACCUGGUGUUGUGUUCAACUAGGUGGAGAGAGUUUGAUUAGGUGAUCUGGUGUUGUGUUCGACUAGGUGGAGAGAGUUUGAUGAGGUGAUCUGGUGUUGUGUUCAACUAGGUGGAGAGAGUUUGAUUAGGUGAUCUGGUGUUGUGUUCAACUAGGUGGAGAGAGUUUGAUUAGGUGAUCUGGUGUUGUGUUCAACUAGGUGGAGAGAGUUUGAUUAGGUGAUCUGGUGUUGUGUUCAACAAGGUGGAGAGAGUUUGAUUAGGUGAUCUGGUGUUGUGUUCAACUAGGUGGAGAGAGUUUGAUGAGGUGACCUGGUGUUGUGUUCAACUAGGUGGAGAGGGUUUGAUUAGGUGAUCUGGUGUUGUGUUCAACAAGGUGGAGAGAGUUUGAUUAGGUGAUCUGGUGUUGUGUUCAACUAGGUGGAGAGAGUUUGAUGAGGUGACCUGGUGUUGUGUUCAACUAGGUGGAGAGAGUUUGAUUAGGUGAUCUGGUGUUGUGUUCAACAAGGUGGAGAGAGUUUGAUUAGGUGAUCUGGUGUUGUGUUCAACUAGGUGGAGAGAGUUUGAUUAGGUGAUCUGGUGUUGUGUUCAACUAGGUGGAGAGAGUUUGAUUAGGUGAUCUGGUGUUGUGUUCAACUAGGUGGAGAGAGUUUGAUUAGGUGAUCUGGUGUUGUGUUCAACUAGGUGGAGAGAGUUUGAUUAGGUGACCUGGUGUUGUG